rnacentral:rRNA from 1 species
UUCUUUUUGCCAGCGCUUAAUUGCGCGGCGAAAAAACCUUACACACAGUGUUUUUUGUUAUUACAAGAACUUUUGCUUUGGUCUGGACUAGAAAUAGUUUGGGCCAGAGGUUUACUGAACUAAACUUCAAUAUUUAUAUUGAAUUGUUAUUUAUUUAAUUGUCAAUUUGUUGAUUAAAUUCAAAAAAUCUUCAAAACUUUCAACAACGGAUCUCUUGGUUCUCGCAUCGAUGAAGAACGCAGCGAAAUGCGAUAAGUAAUAUGAAUUGCAGAUUUUCGUGAAUCAUCGAAUCUUUGAACGCACAUUGCGCCCUCUGGUAUUCCAGAGGGCAUGCCUGUUUGAGCGUCAUUUCUCUCUCAAACCUUCGGGUUUGGUAUUGAGUGAUACUCUUAGUUGAACUAGGCGUUUGCUUGAAAUGUAUUGGCAUGAGUGGUACUGGAUAGUGCUAUAUGACUUUCAAUGUAUUAGGUUUAUCCAACUCGUUGAAUAGUUUAAUGGUAUAUUUCUCGGUAUUCUAGGCUCGGCCUUACAAUAUAACAAACAAGUUUGACCUCAAAUCAGGUAGGAUUACCCCGCUGAA